rnacentral:rRNA from 2 species
UAAUUGAAGAGUUUGAUCAUGGCUCAGAUUGAACGCUGGCGGCAGGCCUAACACAUGCAAGUCGAGCGGUAACAGGGGAAGCUUGCUUCUCGCUGACGAGCGGCGGACGGGUGAGUAAUGUAUGGGGAUCUGCCCGAUAGAGGGGGAUAACUACUGGAAACGGUGGCUAAUACCGCAUAAUCUCUUAGGAGCAAAGCAGGGGACCUUCGGGCCUUGC